UUGGAGGGCAAGUCUGGUGCCAGCAGCCGCGGUAAUUCCAGCUCCAAUAGCGUAUAUUAAAGUUGUUGCAGUUAAAAAGCUCGUAGUUGAAUUUUUGAUUCUGACAAUUGGUCCAUCUUUUAGAUGAGUACUUUUUGUGUAGGGUCUAUCUGCCUGGUGAUACGUAAUGUCCUUUAUUGGGUGUUACGGGUAGUCAGGACCUUUACCUUGAAAAAAUUAGAGUGUUUAAAGCAGGCUUAUGCCGGAAUACAUUAGCAUGGAAUAAUAGAAUAGGACG
rnacentral:rRNA from 1 species